GAAAAACGCAACAGAGAAGGAGAAAGGAAAGAAAGAAAAGGGAAUUUUGGGUUUUGAAAUUCCAAGCUCAAUUGCUAGUGUCGUACCGGAAUUCUCGACUAAAAAGGGGAAAAAUAUAGUCGACAUCGAAUAGCUCGGAAUUCCUGUCUCCGGUAAUGCUCCAUAACCCAGUUUUGGCGAGGGAUACGGGUUGGGGGUGUUACAGUGUGGUCCACCCAUGUGGCCUUAAUCCUACGCACAAUCUUCACUGAUUCACUUGGAAAAGAACACACACCUUUCACAAGGGGUCCAAUCGACGUUCCUCAUGCCCAAUUCUGAUUCGAUGCACCUAAAUGUGGUCCUUCAAUGAAAAAUAUACUCAAUUAACGAUUGGUGUCAACAUUGGCAAGAUUUACAAAAUAUUUGACAAGAACCGUAAAAGAUUUCUUAAUCAAAUGAAAGAUCUACGUGGAAUAAUGAUGUUAUGAAA